GCGAUGAGCUAAUUUGCGUAAGACGAGAUUGACUCGCCUUAAUCGGCAAGCACAAUGUGGAGUGUUGUCUCUCGCCGCAAAUAUGUCAAAAAAGACGUCCUAUUGGGCGUCUU
rnacentral:sRNA from 1 species